ACAAUUGUUUUUUUUUUUGGUUGAGUUAGAAUCAGACCUGCAUUCAUCGGUUCGUUUUUGUCUGUAGUUUUGUUUUUUAUUUCUCUAUUGAGCGCUUAAUUAGUUUUGUUGCCGUUAAUUAUUUUAGCAGAAAUUAACGUUUUUUGGUUUUCUGUUUUCUGCAUCUAUUGGAGAGAGUAGAUGGAGAGGAGUGAGUGAUUUGGUGCUCCAAUUAUACCAAGCGCAACGAAGUAGAAGCGAUAAUGAUUCUUCCGGCGGACUCUUACAUUGGUACUGAAAGAAUAGGUUGGUUUUUCCUUUAACUUAAUUUUUUGGACAGUAAUUCAGACUUGUAUAUGUUUUUAAUUUGUCGAAUUUGGAACUUCUAUGUAUGAGGAAUUUGUUGCCUCGCGCUUCUUUUAAACCAUUUGGUAAUGUCGCUAUUUGGGUUAUGUGAAUCAAGGUAGGCGUUUGUUGUGUUUAUUUUGGUGUAUGUGUAUUUUCUUUGAGUAAUUUGGUAAUUGAUUUUAUUAUUUCUUCGAUAUUUCGACAUGAGAAAUUGGGGUAAUUGGGUUUGUUCAGAGAUUUUGUUGAACUCUCUUAUGGCUAAAUUUGGUUAGGCUGUUGAUUCCUGUUGUAAGUAAAUUGAAAAGUGUAUGUGUUGAACUAAAGUAGUUUAAGAGUUGGUAAAAAGUCUAACAUUGUUGCGAGAAAAAGAAAACAUAUUCGGGGUAAUUUUUUCUUUCUUCUCUAUGACUUGAUGAUUGACAUCUUGAAUGUUUCCAUAGCUCCUGGUAAGUGAUGCUGUUAAUGAAAGAGUAUGAAUAUUAGUUUGGUGUGAAAGUAGAUAUAAAUUUUCAUUGGAAUUUGUAUUUUUAUUUUGGUUGAGUAUCGUAAUAUGUAUUUGGAAUAACUUACGAUUGGAUGAUUUCAGGCUGUAGGAGCGCUAUAUAGCUCCAUAACCAUUGAAGUAUUACCUGAACCAUUUUAUAAAGAAAGUAAGCACAUAUAGUUUGUUUGGAAUUUAGGGUAAGUAGUUUACCUGUUUCUUUUGGGAGGUCAUUGUAGAUUUCCUUGUAGACUAUAUUUUUAACUCCAUUAGGCUUUUUGUCCUCUCCUUGUAGGAUGGUUAGUCCUGUAGGUGAUGUAACUCUAGAAAGAGCCACGUAGAGUUUUCCAUGGCUGAAAACUGGAUUUGGUAGAUAAAGCACGACUGAUUUCAAACUUUGACCUUGACUUUUGUUUAUGGUCAUGGCGUAGCAUAUUCUUACAUGAAAUUGCCGUCUUCGAAGCGUAAAAGGGUGCUCUGAUUGGGGUGGCGAUAAGAUAAUCCUCGGUAUGGAAACAUUUUUACCAGCAUGUGUGCCUGUUACUAUUUGUCCUUCUAUCACUCGUUCCCCCAAAUUAGUGACAAUUAGUCUUGUACCGUUGCACAAACCUUCCUUUUGGUUCAGAUUUCUUAGUAGCAUAAUCGGAACUCCUCUUUUUAAGGUUAUUUUGUGCUUUGGCAAGCCUGCAAAUUCUAAAGAGUUUAAAUACUCAAUAGGGUAGAGUGCUUCAUAAUCUGCUCCAACUGUGUCUGCUUUUCCAAUGCUAUCUGAGCUUAAAUAUUCUUUUGAAUCCCCUCCAACUUGAGAUAACAUGUAUUCAUUAAUCUCAUCAACAUACUCAUUCCGGGGAGUAAGAAUUGCUCGUUCUGCCAAGUAUUGGAAGUUGGGCUGGGAGACACUGUAUAGCGCAUAUGCUGCCUAUGUGACUUGGUGGAGGGGGUUCCCAUUGUGUUCCAAAAAGAAAUUUGACUCCACUUUGACGACUUCACCAUCAUCUUUAUCAGUUGCAUCAUCUGUUUCGCAUGUUGUAGCAUUUCCAUUUCCUACACUUAGUAGCCAAGCUGCAAACUUUGUUUUUGAGUGGUGGAGUCUCAUGUUUUUUUCCAAAACAAAGACAUUGCAUGCAUCCCAUAAAUAGGACUGACUUAUAGCGGCAAGUACAGUGUCUGCUCGUGUUCCAUGUGGUAUAACUGGUAGUAUUUGCCUAAAAUCUCCUCCAAGUAGAAUAGUUUUCCCUCCAAAUGGUUUUUCGCUUGCCAAAGAGUCCAAGUCUCUUAGUGUUCUAUCAAGUGUCUCGAACGUGUGUCGAUGCGACAUUGAUGCUUCAUUCCAUAUAAUCAAAUCAGUCUUGAUUAGUAACUCAGCUAGCAUUGUCCCUUUCUUAAUAUCACAAAUGGAAUCUUCUGUAACAUUCAAAGGUAUCUUGAAUCUUGAAUGUGCUGUUCUGCCCCCAGGCAAAAGCAACGCUGCGAUGCCUGAUGAAGCCACUGGUAGGACAAUUCGUUUUUCUGAUCUUAGUUUGGAGAUUAUGGUCUUGUAAACAAAUGUCUUCCCCGUUCCUCCAGGGCCGUAAAGAAAGAAGAGUUUUCCCAUAUUGUUGUAGACUGAUUCCAAAACUGAAUCGUAGACUUUGUUUUGCUCGAUAUUUAGACUGCUAAAAAGAUUCUCGUAUUCUUCUCUCUCUUGUUUUUCAUUGUACUGAAGCUCCUGUCUUUACAGACUAUUCCCUAAUUGUUUUAGAACGUUUGAAUCAGGCUUAGGCAUAUCUUUGAACUCCGUGAGUGUUUUUUCAUGUUGAUGCAAGAGUAGCUCAAUCUCAAUCAAAGUAUAAUGAUGCAGCUCAUGUCUUUGAAUUUCAUUCUUUGAUUCCCAAAAGGGCGUCGUUGCUUUGCAGGUAUGUCUUCUGACAUUGAUUUCCAAGAGUGUUCCCACAACCGUGAUGAGUUUGCUACUUCACAAUAGAUUAGUAGAAGGACAAACAGAUGCCGUAGUUGAAUCGGGGUUGCCCAUUGAUUUGCUUCAUCCAU
rnacentral:lncRNA from 1 species